GGUGAGGUGGCCGAGUGGCUUAAGGCGCACGCUUGGAAAGCGUGUAAACGGGGAACUGUUUCGGGGGUUCGAAUCCCUUCCUCACCG
rnacentral:tRNA from 1 species